AAAUUGAAGAGUUUGAUCAUGGCUCAGAUUGAACGCUGGCGGCAGGCCUAACACAUGCAAGUCGAACGGUAACAGGAAUCAGCUUGCUGAUUCGCUGACGAGUGGCGGACGGGUGAGUAAUGUCUGGGAAACUGCCUGAUGGAGGGGGAUAACUACUGGAAACGGUAGCUAAUACCGCAUAAUGUCGCAAGACCAAAAAGGGGGACCUUCGGGCC
rnacentral:rRNA from 1 species